rnacentral:rRNA from 1 species
UACGUAGGGUGCAAGCGUUAAUCGGAAUUAUUGGGCGUAAAGGGUGCGCAGGCGGAUAUAUAAGUCAGAUGUGAAAUCCCUGGGCUUAACCUAGGAAUUGCGUUUGAAACUAUGUAACUAGAGUGUAACAGAGGGGAGUGGAAUUCCAUGUGUAGCAGUGAAAUGCGUAGAGAUGUGGAAGAACACCGAUGGCGAAGGCAGCUCCCUGGGUUAACACUGACGCUCAUGCACGAAAGCGUGGGGAGCAAAC